ACUUAAAUAGUUUAUGUAAAAUAUUGAUUUGUGGUAUCAAAGAAGUUUAGUUAAAUUUUAGGUU
rnacentral:tRNA from 1 species